UGGGUAACCUGCCUCAAAGAGGGGAAUAGCCUCCCGAAAGGGAGAUUAAUACCGCAUAAUAUGUUUAAGUCGCAUGACUUUAACAUCAAAGGAUUUUCUUUUAGAAAUUCCACUUUGAGAUGGACCCCGCGGCGCAUUAGCUAGUUGGUGAGGUAACGCUCACCAAGGCAACGACGGGUANCUGGUCUGAGAGGAUGGCCAGCCANAGUUGGGACUGAGACACCGGCCCAGCUCCGAGG
rnacentral:rRNA from 1 species